UAUAUAUAUAUAUAUAUAUAUCAAAUUAAAUAGUAAAGUUCAAAUACAGUUGUCAGUACAUAAUCAGAAGACACAUAGAACAUUUAGUAAAAUUAUUUCUUACCUGGCUGAUGCAAAAGACUAUUGACAAUUUUCAGAAAUUGGGCUAGAUACUUUUGUUUCCAUUGAUAUUUUUCAUGGCAGCACUUGUUUCUUGAACAUCAAAAGUUAUGACAUGAAUUUGUAAUUGGUGUACAAGAGGGCUAAAACUGAUAGAAAUUAAUCUCAGUCACAUUAAUUUUUUCUUUACCAUUGGCAAAAAAUUGUGAAUCUGAAAUUAUGAGUAAAGUUCAGUAUUCAUUAACAGGUCUUAUUUCUUUUACUUCAUUAUUGCUAGCUUUAUUUUACUUCAAGUAAUUUAAAUUUAAGGAAAUGGGAGACAGAUUAGUAGAGGGCUAUUUGCCAGUUGUCCUGUGAUGAAGCAUUAGUUUUCAACAUAUGAAUUAAUACACAAAGCAGGAUGGGCAAACCUGUUACUGGCUACAUUGGUCAUGUAUAACUUGAUCCUGGAGCUGUCUGUAUAAUAGGAAAUAUGCAUAGGUAUUAUUUUUACAAUUUUGUAUUGGAUAUUUCAUACAAGAUAACUGUUUACUUCCAUAAGCUCAUGCAAGAUGAAAAGAAACAUUACCAUGUAAUUAAAUUUAUGUAAUAGAACUAUACAAGUACAAACUCAUAGAUAUUUUAAAUUUUUUUUUAUAUGCAUUUGUUAAAAUGUUAUUAUUAAUUAUUAUUAUUAUUAUUAUUAUUAUUAUUAUUAUUAUUAUUAUUAUUAUUAUUAUUUUAUUAUUCACUUAUUUAUCUUUCUUUUCUUUUCUUAUCUUGCAUUUUGCAUGUAUUGAUCAUUGAUGUUUAUUUGUGCAUUAUUGUCUUUUCUUGAUCAACAGCUGGCUCCUUCUGGUAGCUCAGACUUCUCAAAAAAAAGAGAAAAAAAAGAAAAAGCAAACCAUUCACAUAAUGUGUUAAAUGAAGAUGAAAGUAAAAGAGAGCUAGAUAUCCAUUUCACACUAUAAAAUGGAGAUAGGAUGAAAACAUGUUGUAGUGUUGUGGUGACAGUUAUUCUUAUAUCUGCUCCAGUAACAUGCAAAUGAGCUUUUGAGGCUCUGUAACAGCCAUAAGAAAUUGGGCAUAUUUGUGAUCAGAACAUAUAACUGAUAGAGCUGUGACAUGUAAAACAUUGUCAUGUGUAAGAUGCUGGUUGCAUGUCCAAGCCGUCCAUGCAUAUUGCAGCCAAAAAUACUCUUAUUCAGCUUUCUUCCCUUCCCAGACCACUCCAUCUGUGUAUAUCUGAACAUUUAUAUUUGAAGACAAAGAGUGUUCAGUGCAUGUUAUGGAAGCACUUCUAGUAUGUUCAGUAGUUACAAGAAAAUGGCAGACUUUUUUUUUUUAUAUGCAUAUUUUUCACAAUAUUCUUUGUAAAUUUUGGACCUAUAUUGCAACACAAAGUGCUGCACAAAACAAUUACCAAGACAUGCCAUGGUUUGUAAGUAGGAAGGUGAUGUGAUAUAUUCUGUGCAUAUUUCCAGCCAAUUGUGCUUGACUGAUGUUGGACAUUGCUGGCAACUUUAUUACAUCUAAGAUGAAUGAUGAUCUCUCUUAUUUUCUAGGGUGACAAGAAAUAAACUAAUUUCUGAGAAGUUUAUCAUACUGACACUUCACGAAUUACAGAACACACAAAGCAGCAAUGAGGAAACUGAAAAAAAUAGAAUUGCAGAAAAGUGAUCCACUAAGCCAGGCCUCAGACACCUCAUCAUCCUCCAGUCUCAACAUGUAAGACUGGUUAGUAAUUACUUUGAGUGUUUUUUAGGUAUCGGUGUCAGAGCUUAUAUGAUAUUAUAUGAACAAAAAUAUUGGUGAUAAGCAAGUCUGACAUAACAACAGGCUUGAAGAAGGUAUUCCACUAAAUGAGCUUCUGCAGUCCAUGGCAAGUGGGGAAAUUAGGGUUUUAUGAUGUAAUGCCUUUCAUACCAACUGUCAGCUUUGUUUCUUUAAUUUUUUUUGGGUGUUAAAUACACUGUAUACCUGCAUUUAGUAACUUUGUGGCAGAAAGUAUGUUUUAAAACUUCAUACAUAAUAUAUAGGUAUAAGUAUUUAACUAAACUUUAUUACAGAAGGCUUCUGUGAAGCCUUGUAUGGAAAGAUAAAUCAGAGACAUGAGCAUCAAAUGCAUGUAUGAGGAUGAAGAGAUGUUUUAUGUGAAUUUUGUUGCCCUAAAGCCUCUAAUGAUGUUUCUUCUUUUCAAGUAGGUAUGCUUGGCUUCCAUAAAAGGUAUAUUUUGCUGCCAGAUUUACUAAUUCUAAAUAGCAGAUUCCAUGUUUUGCAGCUGCCAUGAAACUCCCUUCAGUAUGUAAAGUAUUCCUGCCUAGAGGACCUAUACAUAUAAACCAAUAUUGGGAUGGUGUCAACUGGCACAGGCAAACUUUGACUAAUCAGACAGAUAAGCUUUGUCACAAUUUGAAGGAGUAACAGUCUCUGAAAUUUAUAAUGAGUUUUGUAAGCUGUUGAUGUUCAUAUAUAUAGCCUUAUCCUGGUCCUCUCCUUCAUUGACACAGUAUCCCAUAUGAGGAAUGAGGACUAGAUUUGAUGAAUAUCUGUUAGAGGUCCCUUUGUAUUAAUAUACUCAUAUGUGUCACACAACAAAGUACAACGUAGCAUUGUGAUAGUUUUCUGAUAAUGUCUCCUAAAGCUCUUGACAAGCUCAUGGCAUCUUAAAGUGGACCUCUCCUCAGAUUGGUGUAAAUGCUACAUGCCUCCACUGUGUGAUGAAUCCUAGUGACAGAUUUUUGUUUCUUGGUAGCUCAGAACCAGUUGCAACAGUUUCAAAUACUUUGCCUAGACAAUUAUUUUUACUGAAAGUACCUUUAUUUUCAGGGCUGUGGAUCAAAGCCAGUUAGAUGUAUUGUCAUUUCAAAUCAAUUACAGUGACACAUUGAAUUUAAAGCUUACAAAAUAUGCCUCUUAAUGGUCCAAUGAAUUGCCAAAUUGUCCAUUGUAAACAGUGAAUGACAUGUGUGCAACUUGCAAAAAAUUAAAAUAAGCCAGUCUGUGAAUCAAUAUUUAGCUCUAAAUGAAAGGUUAUUUUUAUCUAGCAUGUUCUGAUAAGGAAUUUCCCGUUUAUGUAUAUCAGCCGUGAUACAAGAGUCACCUUAAGGAUCCUGUUUUAGAUUUGUGCCCAUAAAUUCAUAAAGACCACAAUAUUAUAUAUAAAGGUGAACAAAGUGUUGUAUUAAAAGUGUUAAGUUCAUCUGUUUGACUAAGGAAACACCAAGAUGAGGAAUAUAUUUUGUAUUUUUGUGAGGUGUGCUUCAUAUGUAUCUAUAUUAUAUUGACAUCAUGGAAGGAUACAGGGUUUAUCACAUUUAUCACAUGAGUGAAAAUUUAUGCUUUUUUUUUUUUUUAAUACCUGAACACUUUGUACAAAGUACAUAUUGAUUUAUGGCCGCGCUACAAUAUGAGUGGUGUACCUUCUGGGAGGCAAAGCUUCAAUACUGUAUUCAUGGAUCUUGAUGGGUUUUCUUUUAUUCCAUGAAGUGUAAUGAAUUGUCUGAAAAAAAUGUUCAUUAAAUAAGGAUUAUUUUCUCAGAUAAUAUGAAGUUCUUUAAUGCUAAUAUGUCACAUUUUGAUAAACAGUUGUUUGUGCAAUGUGUCCUAUUAAUGCACUCUUUGCAGGUGCCAUAUCAAGGUAUUUAUGGUAAUUUGUUAUUUCCUUGACCAUUUAUUUUAAUUAUGACAAAUUUAUAGAUUUUGAAAGCAUUUCAAACAUAUAUAAGAAACCAGGCCUGAAGAAUAGAAAGAUGCUAAAGUGAAGUGAAAUGCUAACACUAAGACUGAGGAAUAAGGAUUGUGAAGCAGUGCAUAAAAGGUUAUCUUUUGGGUUUUCAUGGCAAAAACCCACUACAUCUUGAAGUGGUUCUGGACAGAAUAUUUGUUUUGUCAUGCUUCAGUCAUUAGGAAUGGUAAUGAGCAUACUGUAUAUGGAUUCACAAUAACUUCAUUUCUGACAAACUGCAGGAUUAGACUUUAAGGUAUAGCAUAUUGUUUAGAAAGGCUCUUUGAAAAAAAAAUGUACUACAUUAAUUUUUCUCUUAUUCAGAAUACUACUUUAUAAUUUUUGCAUGCAAAAAAGUAUUUUAAUAUAUCUGAUGUUAAUCAGCUGGUUGAAUUUAGAGAAAACUUCACCAGGUGUUGCAAUAACAUUGUAGCUCAUGUAUUUGUACUCAUGUGUUGCAGAACGAGGCACAUGCUGUCUAUCCUCCAGGUGUGAGGGAUGCCUUUUUGCCUCGUUAAUUGAUGAACCACAUCACUUAGCAACUCAGGACAUUUGAAAGGAAUGAGUAUGUCUGGUGCCAAUACUCUGACCAAGAAUGACAUCAUUUCAAAUGGAAAGAUUGCAGGACCUAUUCAGAAAUGUUUUCUGCAUGUGUGUGUGUGUGUGUGUGUGUGUGUGUGUGUGUGUGUGUGUGUGUGUGUGUGUGUGUGUGUGUCAGCUUGGGUGAUUAUUCUGAACACAAAUGUAUUACUAAUACAAUCAGUGUGCAACACUAAGAUCCAAAGAAAGAGCUGAAAGACACAGAAAAUUUGUCAUGUGGAGGUAGUCUAUCAAUUAUUUACAACAUAUAUCAGGUGCUUGACAUCUGGAAAUUUUACUGGUUCCAGACCUCAUUUGGUGCUCAUAGAUUAAAAUUAAGAAGAAAAUGUGGAAAAAAGGAUAAUACAUUCUGAAAAAUUGCACAAGCUGAAGUACAAUUUACUAAUCAUUCUGGAUAAGAGAAAAGUUACUGUAAAAAAUGUGUUUAGAAAUAAACUUAACUCUUAAUUCAUUGACAUAUUUCAUACAAGGCAGCAACUCUAAUCAUAUUGAGACUGAAUGCAAUGCUUCUUUGUAAGUUAUGAGUAAUUCUAUUUCAGACUUCUGUAGUGUAUACAAAGAACUGUCUCCAUAGGAAAUGUGUGAGCCAAUUAUUGAAAUUGUAAAGUCAAAUAGCAGAGUAACUAUAUAGUAUUUUUAUUAGUGGUACUCCAAUUAUCAGUAGUUCACAAGGGUGAAUGAUGUUCUUUGUAUCAUCCUCAGGUUGACAGAAGCCCUUGUGAGCUUGCUGUGGGGUGUUGGUUGAGACUCAUAGAAUCAGAAACACCAAGCCAGGAUCGUGUUUACUGUCACAAAAUUACCAUUACAACUUAUGAAAAUUAAGUGCUAUUUAGUCUCCAUCACCCAGGCAGCACUGAAUCACUUUGCUAGCGUAGGCUGCAGCUGUGUUCACCAAAUGUGUCUGUUGUUUGUCACCUUGAUGGUAAUCAGACAUCAUCCUCAGUAGAUUAGAGGCAAAUAACCUAAGCUUUUUACAUGACUAAUUAUUUAUUAUCAGCUGUACUAUUGUGUUUUGUGGCACUGAUUUCUGGUUCUCAGUGUUGUUGAAUACUUUGUGGGUUCUUUCCCAGGGAAGCAAAUAUUUUAUUUGGAACAUGUUUUUUUUUAUGUAUGGCAAAGUGUAGAAACACUGCAGCAAAUCUUUGUCAGAAUAUUUAUGGUAGUGAACAAAUGUUAAAAUAUACAUGUAUCACAAUUUUGUCUGAAGUUUGACUGCCAUUUGUUUGCCAAAAGAUAUUUCAUGUAUACUACCAGCAUUGAUCCUCCACAAUUGUACGUACAACUUAUAAAUGUAUCUUUCUCA